UAAGGAAUAUUGGUCAAUGGACGCAAGUCUGAACCAGCCAUGCCGCGUGAAGGAUGAAGGUCCUCUGGAUUGUAAACUUCUUUUAUCUGGGACGAAAACGGGAUUUUUAUCUCAAUUGACGGUACCAGAGGAAUAAGCACCGGCUAACUCCGUGCCAGCAGCCGCGGUAAUACGGAGGGUGCGAGCGUUAUCCGGAUUUACUGGGUUUAAAGGGUGCGUAGGUGGGCUUAUAAGUCAGUGGUGAAAUCUCCGAGCUUAACUUGGAAACUGCCGUUGAUACUAUAGGUCUUGAAUUAUCUGGAGGGAAGCGGAAUAUGUCAUGUAGCGGUGAAAUGCUUAGAUAUGACAUAGAACACCAAUUGCGAAGGCAGCUUACUACAUAUAAAUUGACGCUGAGGCACGAAAGCGUGGGGAUCAAA
rnacentral:rRNA from 1 species